CUCGCCGAAGCUGCCCCUUCUGCUCCUCUCCCAAGCUGAUGAUUCUUAAUCCUCUGCAUUCUCUCUCUCUCUCUGUGUGCGCGCGUCUUUUGAAGAGGCUGUGAUGAGUAAUCAAGAUCUUGUGUGAUAUGGUGUAGAGCUCAUUCUGUUCUUGCUACAAUGUUUUGGCCUUGUAGCAUUACUCUUUCUUGGCAAUGGUGGCUGGGUAGCUAGGAAGGUCUGAUGUUCUGCAGGCAACCGCUGCCACCACCAGCUGUAGAGAGGAGUGCAGAGAUGAGGAAGAAAGUGGGAUCUUCUUCUCCCUCUGUGCUAUAAUAAUGGAUCAAAAGCAACUCUGAGCCUCACUCCCUUCUCUUUCUUUAUUUAAGAUAUGUUGCUGUUCGUUUGCUCAUUUUUCUUCCCAUUCUAUUUAAUUUCUACAAAAUUUUUAAUCUCUUAUAUUUGCAGCUCAGGUGAUAGGCAACUGCUGGAUCAUAUGCUGAUUAUUCCUGCAGCCUUUGCUACGUGUCUGUACGGGUCAUUUCUCUUUUUCAUCUUAGUGAUGAGAUACCUGCAGACCAGGCAAGGUUGUUCAAGACAUACCGACCAAGGUUUGCUGUGCAGUUACCAUGAUGAGGUCUUCCUCCAUGGUCCAUCGGCCUUUGCUCUGCUUAGCCUCUCAUUUCCCGUUUAUCCUUUUGUUCAUGGUGUUAGUUUCUUCCCCCAUGGUAGAGAAUUCUGAUCCAUUUAAUUAGAGCGAGCUUUAAUUCUUUAUGUUUCUUUUAAAAGUACUUUGCAACUUCUAAUGCAAAACAGUGCUUCCCAGAAAAAAUAAGUUUGGUGACAAUAUCUGAAAAGUGUUUUUAAAAGUAGAAGCAACAGAAAACAUGCCUCCCCCCUUCUCUCUCUCUCUCUCUCUCUCUCGUGUGCUCGCCCAAUCCUUUUUUAUCUGAUCUUUCUAAUUCUCUUUCUGUUUUUAGAGGCUCUGAUGAGUUGUGCUUGUAUCUCAUGCUUCAGAUGCUGAAUUCUGUGCUGCUGCUGGACAAUCUUAUUCCAAGUAUUAUAAUGAUAUAAUUGGCAGUAUUUAAGACAUGCUCUCUCUCUCUCUCUCUCUCUCACACACACACACACACACACACACAUUUAAUCUUUCUCCUCAUCUACCAUUGAGGCAGAGGUGAAGUCAUGGGAUUCCAGCCACCCUUCAAGUACUUUAUCUUUUAAAUUCGUCAUGCAUCCCAAAUGUUUACUAAUUUGCCUUAUUUGAAUAGGUUUAGCCAACUUGGAUGGCCUGCUAUGGUGCAGUCAACUGUUUCUGCCUGUAAGCAACCUCAUCCGAUGUCUGAUAAAUGUGCAAGACUGAGCCUCCCAUUUUUUUAAAACUUAAUUGUUGUUGUUCCCUUUUUAUUUGAAAAAGAAAGUACUAUCAACCUGUAGAAAAAAGGGGAAGAGAUAAUGUAACACACAUAAAGGUUAUGAUGAAGGAUAUGAAGCAACCUGGAAUAGCAUCAGGGAUAGCCCUAAAUAGGAAUAAGGUGAAUGAAGAUUGAUGAAACUGACCCCAAAUGGAUGGGAAAAGGACAGAUGGUUAUAUGGUAAGUACAAUCAAGCUUUUCUUUUCCUCUUAAUACUCCAUAGAUUUUAUUCAACCAGGACUUUUCUUCAAGGAGUUGCACUGUUGCUAUUCUUUUCCCCACUUUCAUAUAUUCCGUACAUGUUCCUUGAUAGAUCGUAAGAUUGUGAUACUUGACAGAUCUUAAGAUUGGCCUGCUUUAUGCAGGUAACUGCAACGUACAAAAGUUUAUUGUAGGAGAAUGUUUAUUGAAGGAGCUUAACUAAGUAGACAUGAUUAUGCUAGUGAAUUCUGAAUCUCAGCUUAAAACAGUUCUAUAUCACAUUCCUGCAUGCAUUCUUCUCUAGCUUACUAGCCCUUUUCGUGGCUAACACCCAACCAAAGGCUGCUCAUGAACCAUUCAUCAAUUGAGAGCCAUAGUCCUUAGAGGGUCGUUGUUUGCUUAUCUUGCUCCUAUCAUUUACGCUUCAGUCAAUGAAACUUACAUGUGCCUGAGUUCAAAAGGAGAAAGGAAAACUUAUAUGUGCCCGUUCAAAGGAUAGGUGACUGAAACCCUAUGGGUUUUCAUUGUUAGGGGUUUAAUUUCGUGGAUUUGUUAUGUGUCAUGAUAAAAUAGAUCUAUGAAUUUACCUUAAAUUUUCUGGCAGGUUAGAUUAGAUUGUGUUCUGAUGCAUCUUAGUAUAUGUUGUUCUCAUGUUUCAUGCUUCAGUAAAUGGAACUUAUAUGUGCCUGCUCCCAGGAUAGGUGACUGAAGCCCUAUUGGUUCAUGCUUGGAGUUAGGGGAUUAGUGUCAUGUAUUUGUUAUUUUGGCGAUGAAUUGAUCCCUGUCAUUUCCUUAAAUCUGCUAGCAGGUUAGGUUGGAUCUUGUUCUGGCAUGUUUUUGUUGUUUAAUAAUUGGUCCACCUGCCACCUUAACUGCUUUACUGUCACGGCAAAAUUGGAUAGCCAACGGAGUUGUUUGUUCUCCAGGCAACUGUUGCAUCCUUUUAAAAUAUUCCGCACGAUGUCUGAAAAUUGGGCAGAACUAAAUGAACUUGGAUACAGAUAUUAGACAGAUGCUAAAAUUUGUGUCCGCUCCACAUUUCUUCUAAAAAGAUAUGAAUAUUAAUCGGAUAUGACUCCAGAUACAAGUCAGAUUUGUGAGAAAAAUAUUUUUUAAGGAAAAGAUAAUGGAUAAUUCUAAAUAAUGUAAUUUAAACAUAUUGAUGGUUUUAAAGAGAUAGGAGAAUGACAAGUAUCUAACAUGAAGAAUUUAUGUAAUUAAAAAUUAUAUAAUUAAUAACUCUCUUCUUGGUUACCAAAAAUAUAUGAUCAUCUAUGUCAAUGUUAAGUUAGCCGCGGCGCUUAAUUUAAGGUAGCAUUUAGCAUGAUUGCCAGUUUUCUUUCUUUUGUUUUUUUCUAAAUAAAUCUGAAACCAGUUUCUUUCUCUCUCUCUCUCUGUGUGUGUGUGUGUGUGUGUGUUUUUUUAACCGAAAGCUUGAAACUUGUUUGGUGGCAAAUAUGGCGAUGGUGGUGGAGAACAACGUGAUGGUGGCCGGCAUCAGGCAGCGGUGGUCGGUGGCAGCAGUGGCUGGUGACAGCAAUGAUGGCGAACAGUGGGGGUGGCCACCGAUUGCUGAUAGGAGGUGGCGAUUGGUGGUGGAUGGUGGCCAGUGAUGGCAACCGGCAGUAAUUGGUGGCUAGCAAUGUUUGGCAAAUGGGCGGAUGUGACGGCAUGCGGUAGCAGUAGUGGCAGAUGGUGGGCGAUUGGGGAGGUGGCAAGCCAUUGCUAGUUUUCAGAAAAGUUAGCCACAUUUUCUGGUUUCUACAAUUUUCAGAAACUGGUUGUCGGUUUCAAAAAAUGGAAAAUGGAAAACGGAUUAUUAAACACAUGUUCUGCCUGGCAACCAUGUCAAGAAGUGCCUAGAUAAAAGAAAAUCUUCAUUUUUAUUUAAGCUAAAGUUGAGUAUUUGGAUAUUUGAAUUAAAAAAUAUCUUAGUAUCCAGCUAUCUGACUCCAAAUCCAAAAAAGAUUCAAAUCCAUCUGAAGAAACCUACCAUUCGGAGAUCUGGAUCCGAAUCCCAGAAGAAUACUUAAAAUCCGUUGGAAAGGAGCAAGUGGUUGGAUUGGCCUGACUGUAUAUGUAUCUAAAUAUCUAUAUCCGAAUCCUUAUUCAAAUCUUAUCAAACAGUGAUUUUUCUAUUCAAAUUUGAUGUGGUCUAGAUCUGGAUUUAUCAGAGCCCCUAUCGGGCCUAUUUCUAAUUUGUGUCAUUCUCUGGAUAUCUUCAUUGUUUUGCAGCUUUUGCCUUCCCACAGCACCUUCUGGAAUGGUUUUCUUGGUCGACUGCCUCCUGCAGCACAUUUUCCCCCCCUCUAAUUAUGUUCUUUCUUUAUCAGUUUGACGUUUCGGAGUUCUGAUGGUGGUGUUUGCUUGAUCCUUUCAUCUUGUUCCAUGGUUCCUGCAUUAAGGAGUAUCACAAUUUUUCAAAUUCUCUUCAGCAUUUUUUUUCCUUUUAGUCCUUUCAGAAUGAGCGAGCCGCUGACUGAUAAAAGAUGGAACCCUCUUUUUCAUUCUGCUAGUGCUACUAUGAUUACUGUUGUCUCUUAAAUGGUUGUUUGGUGAAAAGUAGUUGCUUCGACAAUUUCUGCUGGUCGCAUUCUUUAUGGGUAAACCACCUGCUAGUUCUGUCGCAGCUACUGCCUCCUCUUGUAUGCUUGGUCUUAUGUAAAUAAACAACCUACUCCUGUUGCAGCAACUGCUUCCUCUUGUAGGAUUGGUCUUUUGUAACUUACCUCAUAGUCCUGUCUCAGCAUCUGCCUUCUCUUGUAUUCUUGGUCUUAUGUAACUAAAGCACCUCCUAGUCCUGUUGCAACAACUGCCUUCUCUUGCUGUUUGUGUUGCUGUGAGUGGAGUGCUUUGUGAAACCAGCUUCACUAGCUUAGGCAAUUUUAGGCCAUUCAUUAAAACUGAACCUGAUAAUGGCUGUUUAAGAGAUUUUUAGGCAUCUUUUUCCUACAGAAGCAAAAGAGGUUGUACCAUGGGCGGUAAUGUACCAUGGGCAGUGGUAAUUUGCUGGUUACUUUAUUGUAUGGUAUUGGACGAGAGGUGGUGUGCUAAAGCAAGGGCAUUUUGCAGUCUCCGAACUUAUGGUACUUGCUUGCAGUUGUGCUUGUAUAUUUCCAUGGGGUGUGGAGUAGAAUAUUCAUAAAACUGGAUUUUUUAAAGUACUUCCUUCUCUAUUCGAUGCAAGUAAUGGCGAGGAAGCUUGGAUGAUCUGGUGAUCUUCUGUUAAACAGCUGCAGCCAUCAAAAAGCAUGCAACAAAAUCCGCACAGCAGCUUUCCAGAGUAGUUGUAAGUCGAGCCUGUGCUGUGUAGGGUCGGAAGAUGAUGAAGCGAAAGUCCUCUGUAGGCAGCCUGCUACUCACCUAAUAAAACAGGAUUCAGCUUACCCUUCAACAUACUGUAAUAUGAUGAAGUGGAAAUCUCCGUGCUGCUGUUCCAAUGAAAUGUGCUAUUGGUGGCUUCUAAACAGAGUUGUGCAUUACCAUAAGCUAUCGAUUAGUUAAAAGUUGUUGACAGGGAUUGGAAUUUUUCAGGCAAAACGGUCUCCCAAUAUGUAAUUGAUCUGUGGAGGAGUCGUCAUGUGUCCCUACAGGAUUUUGAUCGGUUACCCCCUGUUUGUAACUUUAAUUAUUUAAAAUGUAUGGUAAACUGUUGUUGAGUAAUAUAAAUCGGAUAGUGAAUGAACCUCAUGUAUUAAAUUUCAUUGUUUGAUGCUAACACUUUUAUUGGGAAGACUAUUGCUAUUGUCUAA